CAGGCCUAACACAUGCAAGUCGAGCGGAUGACGGGAGCUUGCUCCUUGAUUCAGCGGCGGACGGGUGAGUAAUGCCUAGGAAUCUGCCUGGUAGUGGGGGACAACGUUUCGAAAGGAACGCUAAUACCGCAUACGUCCUACGGGAGAAAGCAGGGGACCUUCGGGCCUUGCGCUAUCAGAUGAGCCUAGGUCGGAUUAGCUUGUUGGUGAGGUAAUGGCUCACCAAGGCGACGAUCCGUAACUGGUCUGAGAGGAUGAUCAGUCACACUGGAACUGAGACACGGUCCAGACUCCUACGGGAGGCAGCAGUGGGGAAUUUUCCGCAAUGGGCGAAAGCCUGACGGAGCAAGACCGCGUGAGGGAAGAAGGUCUGUGGAUUGUAAACCUCUUUUGAUUGGGAAGAAGAACUGACGGUACCAAUCGAAUCAGCCUCGGCUAACUCCGUGCCAGCAGCCGCGGUAA
rnacentral:rRNA from 1 species